CUUCAGAUCACAUUGGACCGUACCGUAAACCGACACUGGUGGGUGAGCAGAUAAUCUGCCAAGGCGCUUGAGAGAACUCGGGUUAAGGAACUCUGCAAAUUGAUACCGUAACUUCGGAAGAAGGUAUGCCUUCGACGGUGUAGGGAUUUACUCCCGAAGCUGUUGAAGGUCGCAGGUAAUCGGUGGCUGCGACUGUUUAUCAAAAACACAGGACUCUGCGAACACGCAAGUGGAAGUAUAGGGUCUGACGCCUGCCCGGUGCCGGAAGGUUAAUUGAUGGGGUUAGCCGCAAGGCGAAGCUCUUGAUCGAAGCCCCGGUAAACGGCGGCCGUAACAAUAACGGUCCUAAGGUAGCGAAAUUCCUUGUCGGGUAAGUUCCGACCUGCACAAAUGGCGUAACGCUGGCCACACUGUCUCGACCCGAGACUCAGUGAAGUUGAAAUCGCUGUGAAGAUGCGGCGUUCCCGCGGCAAGACGGAAAGACCCCGUGAACCUUCACUACAGCUUUACACUGAACUUUGAACCUUUCUGUGUAGGAUAGGUGGGAGGCUAUGAAACUUGGGCGCUAGCUCGAGUGGAGCCAACCUUGAAAUACCACCCUGGGAUGUUUGAAGUUCUAACCUUGGUCCGUAAUCCGGAUUGGGGACAGUGUAUGGUGGGUAGUUUGACUGGGGCGGUCUCCUCCCAAAGAGUAACGGAGGAGUGCAAUGGUACGCUCAGCGCGGUCGGUCAUCGCGCUCUAGAGUGCAAAGGCAUAAGCGUGCUUAACUGUGAGACAGACACGUCGAACAGGUACGAAAGUAGGUCUUAGUGAUCCGGUGGUUCUGUAUGGAAGGGCCAUCGCUCAACGGAUAAAAGGUACUCCGGGGAUAACAGGCUUAUUCCUCCCAAGAGUCCACAUCGACGGAGGAGUUUGGCACCUCGAUGUCGGCUCAUCACAUCCUGGGGCUGUAGCAGGUCCCAAGGGUAUGGCUGUUCGCCAUUUAAAGUGGUACGCGAGCUGGGUUCAGAACGUCGUGAGACAGUUCGGUCCCUAUCUGCCGUGGGCGUUGGAAACUUGAGGGUGAGCUGUCCUUAGUACGAGAGGACCGGGAUGGACGUAUCUCUGGUGUUCCGGUUGUCACGCCAGUGGCACUGCCGGGUAGCUAUAUACGGACGGGAUAAGCGCUGAAAGCAUCUAAGCGCGAAGCCCCCCCCAAGAUUAGGUUUCCCUGGGAACUCGAUUCCCCUAAAGGGCCGUCGGAGACUACGACGUUGAUAGGCUGGGUGUGUAAGUGCAGCAAUGCAUUGAGCUAACCAGUACUAAUUGCCCGUGAGGCUUGAUC
rnacentral:rRNA from 1 species